UCUCCCUCGCCGCCCCUUUGUCAGCCAGUGUUUCUCCAGCAACUAAAGGAAAAGGAGACUGCUUUUCGUCAUUCCAUCACCAUGAGAGCCAAGUGGAAGAAGAAGCGUAUGAGAAGAUUGAAGAGAAAGCGCAGAAAGAUGAGGCAGAGAUCCAAGUAGACAGGAGCAAUCUCUCCCGUUCUACGGGGUUUCAGUGUCAGUGCAGUUUUAGGGUCUAGUCAUCCUGUCAUUUUUAUUUCAGUUUCGAAGCUCUUUUUCGUUCUUUCUUUCUUUGUAUCUGGGUCUUUCAAGUUGGCGUUAAUCUGGCAGUGAGUGUUUCAGUUUUUUCAAUUGUUGAGAACAGUUUGAUCGAUUCAAUGAAAUGGGUAUUUGUUAUUA